UAAGUUGGAUGGUCAAAAGGGAAAGAGCCCAGACCUACAGCUAAGGUCCCAAAGUGCGUGUUAAGUGGAAAAGGAUGUGGGGAUUCUAAGACAACUAGGACGUUGGCUUAGAAGCAGCCAUUCAUUGAAAGAGUGCGUAAUAGCUCACUAGUCGAGAGUCCCUGCGCCGAAAAUGUCCGGGGCUGAAACACGACACCGAAGCUUAGGAAUGUGUAAACAUUGGUAGAGGAGCAUUGCUAGCGGGAUGAAGCCAUACCGUAAGGAGUGGUGGACUGCUAGGAAGAGAGAAUGCCGGAAUGAGUAGCGAGAUGAAGGUGAGAAUCCUUCAGGCCGAAUAUCUAAGGUUUCCAGAGUAAAGCUGAUCUGCUCUGGGUAAGUCGGGACCUAAGGCGAGGUCGAAAGACGUAGUCGAUGGAUAACAGGUUGAAAUUCCUGUACCGCAUAUAAACAGAACUGUGGGGACACAGACAGGGAAUGGAAUCCGGGAAUGGAAAUCCCGGUGCAAGCGAGGUAGGAGUGCUGUUGGCAAAUCCGCAGCACGAUCUGAAGACGUGACGCGUACCGAACAUAAGUAGGGAAGUCCAGGCCCCUGGCUGUCAAGAAAAGCCGCUAUUGUUUUAUAUGUGCCCGUACCGCAAACCGACACAGGUGGAUGAGGAGAGAAUCCUAAGGCCGACGGGAGAAGUAUUGUUAAGGAACUCGGCAAAAUGACUCCGUAACUUCGGGAGAAGGAGUGCCAUGAGAGUGGCCGCAGAGAAAUGGCCCAAGCAACUGUUUAGCAAAAACACAGGUCUAUGCAAAACCGCAAGGUGAAGUAUAUGGGCUGACGCCUGCCCGGUGCUGGAAGGUUAAGGGGAGAGGUUAGCGCAAGCGAAGCUUUGAACUUAAGCCCCAGUAAACGGCGGCCGUAACUAUAACGGUCCUAAGGUAGCGAAAUUCCUUGUCGGGUAAGUUCCGACCCGCACGAAAGGCGUAAUGAUUUGGGCACUGUCUCAACGAUACACCCGGUGAAAUUGAAAUACCAGUGAAGAUGCUGGUUACCUGCGCCAGGACGGAAAGACCCCAUGGAGCUUUACUCCAGUUUGAUACUGGGAUUCGGCAUGGUAUGUACAGGAUAGGUGGGAGACUGAGAAGGUAUGACGUCAGUUGUACCGGAGUCGCUGUUGGGAUACCACCCUUACCAUGUUGGAUUUCUAACCUGUGGCCGUAAGCCGGUCAGGGGACAAUGUCAGGCGGGGAGUUUGACUGGGGCGGUCGCCUCCGAAAGGGUAUCGGAGGCGCUCAAAGGUUCCCUCAGAAUGGUUGGAAACCAUUCGAAGAGUGCAAAGGCAGAAGGGAGCUUGACUGCGACACCGACGGGUGGAGCAGGUACGAAAG
rnacentral:rRNA from 1 species